CAGAUAUUCAACUGAAAGUUAUAAACACUAGACCUGUGAAGACAAUGACUAGAAACACCGGGUGCUACAAUGGCAGAGAUCAGUAACAAGUGGUGUUCAUGGUGUUUCAGAAAGGAAACAAGAAAGCAAUGUGCAAAGCAGGAGUUCAGUUAAUGUACAGACGGGAGGCGACGUGAUCCCAACCAUUGCUUGUACAGUCCUGAGUGAGGAAAAGCCAUGGUACUGUCAGAAUCCAGACAAGUCCACCAGGGAAGAGCACCAUGCAAUGCUAUUGAGGAGAUGAGAAGACUUGAGUCACAGAGAACCUUUAUGUUUUGUUACAGAGUUCGAAUUUUGUCCUAAGAGCACUAGAAUGUCAUGGAAGGACUUUAACCAAAUGAUAUGAUUUUCAUUUAACAUGAUCCCCUGGCUAUAGAGAAAAGAUGGGAAACAAAGCAGAAGCAGAAGGCAGUGUGGUUCUGUCAUCUUGAAUUCACAUGAGCAAUGCACGAGAAUUUCAGUUGUUCCACAUCCCAGCAAGUAUUUGUCAUUUUUCUUAGGUCUACAAAAGAAAAGGACCUGAAUUCAAGGAGCUCUGCUUAAUGAAACAUAAUGAGGACAUUCAUGCAAACCUGGAAGCAAUUUAGAUGGGGUCUGCCUGGCCUGGGAGAAGCAAGCAACAGCUUCCUUAGCGCUAUCCUCCUGGCGUCUGAUGUGAAAGUUCUGAUGUGGCUGAAGAAGUGUGAAGCUCCAGCAAAGUAAGAGAGGUACCUGGUGUGCAACUGCUCCCAAAGAGGUCGGAAAUAGGAAAAAAAAUUACAAAAUAAAAUACAAAGGGCAAAAAUCUCAACUGGCCUAAAAGCUUUAAAAUACAGCAUUUCACGUUGAUCUCCUUGAUCUUCCUCACCUUAG